AGCGCUGCGUGUGAAUAAAACAUAGCCUACUAGAUAGCUCUCCGGUGACCGGUCUAAACGUCCUACGGGAAUACUUGGUUGGCAUGAACUUUAUCAGCGGUCGCAUGAUUGAACAGGUUUCCCACCCAAGCGCAGAACCAGGUUGUUACAGUGGAAGCGGGUCGUCUCCUUAACCUCUACACUUUAUCUUGAUCAGAUUUCUCUCUGGCUGGGGGUGGGGUGCUGACGGGGGGUGGCGGUAUGCCGUGGUGCUAUUGAAAUUCCAGAGCCGAUUUCACAUGUUUUACAUUGCCCUCAUUCCGAUCCCUCCUCUGUGACUCAUUUUUGGGCCUACACUGGGGUGUAGAACAUGAAGCAGGUGAUAGUCGAACUCUUCCCGGCUGACCAGCUCUCUACUGGAAAAACAGGAAUGAGGAGUGAGGGAGGGAUGGCUGGCGGUUGGUCCCGACCGAGUCGGUUCCCAUGUCUUGUUUAGAAUUUAAUGGGCCGAGACAGUGGGAAUCUGACAAGUUUUGCUUAAUUUAUGAGAAGAUGGGCCUGUUUUUGUAGUUUCUCCCCAGGUCACAUACCAAGGAUUGUGUGUGUGUGAGAGAGUGUGUGUGUUUGUGCAUGCAUAGAAUGGUUUCACGUUUCCAUUGCCUAGCAAUGGUGUCACUGUUUUUAAAUUGGCUUGGCGUCGUGUGUUGUGUUAUCUGCCCUACCUAUCCUGAUGUUUGUGUUCGAAUAGAUGCUAUCUUGAAAGAAAUUGCAUGGUGACUUGCCUCUGAUAUGGAAUUUAGUUGGUCAGGACUCACUCACGUAUGUGUCUACUGCCUACUCACGUCUAUGAUUUGAACCUUCCCAUCUACGUCAUAUGUUUUCAUGCACAACUUGGUGAA